rnacentral:rRNA from 1 species
CAACGCGACCCCAGUCAGGCGGGUUUA